rnacentral:misc_RNA from 1 species
AAUUAAUAUUUUGAGAAAGGAAGAAAGGAAGAUAGUAGCUUGAAGAAUGUGGUAUUUAGCAAUAUAGCAUAAAACUUUGAAAAAUAAUCAAUUUUUAAACUUAUCAAUGAAACCUAGGAUAACUUAAAUUAUCAGCUCAGAAAAAGACUAAAACUCAGAUUUCUUCAAAUAUUACCAUUAGUUAUAUCUUUUGCAAAAUAAUGCUACAGGUCACUGUUGUUAAAAUCUUACAAUUCUUGAUCCGAAUCUCAUGAUCCAAUUCGAUUCCACAUCCUAGAGAUUGGAAUCUUAGGGUGAAUCUCAAAUGUACCCAAAUCUUGACUGAAUCUUAUGAGUUGAUAGUAAAUCGGGUGAAUCAAUAUGAAUCGAUCGAUUUGAUCGAUUUUUUUUUAGACGGUUGCUAGACCCUAUAACUUCAAAAUUUA